rnacentral:tRNA from 1 species
AGAAAUUUAGGUUCACACAAACCAAGAACCUUCAAAGUUCUAAACAGGAGCAAUCGCCCUCCUAAUUUCUG